AUGGCUGGAGGGCCUAUAGACUUCUGGAAUGCGUGGGCGGUUCAGAGCCUGGUGCUGACGAGCCUAACUCUGCAGGUUGCCCUCGUCCUGUUAGCGGGGAUCCGGCGGCGUGGCACAUCCUGGCGUACGUUCAGGUUCAUGCUCUGGAUGGCGUACCAGCUCGCCGACGCCACCGCGAUAUAUGCUCUCGGCCACCUCUCAUUCGACGGUGCCACACCCCGCGAGCAUCGCCUGGUUGCGUUCUGGGCGCCGUUUCUCUUGCUGCACCUUGGCGGCCCGGACAACAUCACCGCCUACUCGCUCGAAGACAACACAUUGUGGCUGCGACACCUACUUAAUCUUGGUUUGCAGGUGCUGGGAGCUUCCUACGUCCUCUACAAGCAUUACAUCGGCACUCAAGACAUGCUCCUUCUCGCCGCCAUCUUGAUGUUCGUCGUCGGUGUUGUCAAGUAUGGCGAGAGGACGUGGGCGCUCAAGUGCGGCAACAUGGACAGCAUCCGGGGCUCCCUCAAGAAGAAACCACCUCCCAGAUGUCAACUUUUUUACCUUGAGUAUGAGCUCCCGCAAGGUGGAUCCAAGGGCAGUGUCGAUGAAGAAGAAUUCCUCAUGCGGCAUGCUCAUUCCCUGUUUCAGUUCUGCAAGCGCGCAAUAGUUGAAUCGUCAGAGGACAGGGACCCGGCCAACCCUGAAAUCAAAGUUCUUGACCACCUCACACAUGAACAGUGGAAGCUGUACAAAAAGCUCACAGGCGACCUGCUAGGCGUUGAGUUCCAAGAGGGCAUCAUUAUCUGGCACAUCGCCACCGACCUCUACCUCCUCGACGACAAGCACACUGGGAUGGAAAUCAUGGAAGGCCAACAAAUGUCGCCCCACUUCACCAUAUGGCAUUUCUAUCCAAUGUUCAUUGCAUGCCAGAAGAAAAGAGAGGUCUUUACUAAACGAGCUAUGCACACCCUACUGUUCUUUCAGAGAAGAAUACCCAACUGUCCCAGGAGCUAG
rnacentral:rRNA from 1 species